AUUGAACGCUGGCGGCAUGCCUUACACAUGCAAGUCGAACGGCAGCACGGGAGCAAUCCUGGUGGCGAGUGGCGAACGGGUGAGUAAUGUUUCGGAACGUGCCUAGUCGUGGGGGAUAACGUAGCGAAAGCUACGCUAAUACCGCAUACGAUCUAUGGAUGAAAGCGGGGGAUCGCAAGACCUCGCGCGAUUGGAGCGGCCGAUAUCAGAUUAGGUAGUUGGUGGGGUAAAGGCUCACCAAGCCGACGAUCUGUAGCUGGUCUGAGAGGACGACCAGCCACACUGGGACUGAGACACGGCCCAGACUCCUACGGGAGGCAGCAGUGGGGAAUUUUGGACAAUGGGCGCAAGCCUGAUCCAGCAAUGCCGCGUGCAGGAUGAAGGCCUUCGGGUUGUAAACUGCUUUUGUACGGAACGAAACGGCGAGCUCUAAUACAGUUUGCUGAUGACGGUACCGUAAGAAUAAGCACCGGCUAACUACGUGCCAGCCGCCGCAGUAA
rnacentral:rRNA from 1 species